GAUUCCCCUAGUAACUGCGAGUGAAGCGGGAAAAGCUCAAAUUUAAAAUCUGGCGGUCUUUGGCCGUCCGAGUUGUAAUCUAGAGAAGCGUUACCCGCGUUGGACCGUGUACAAGUCUCCUGGAAUGGAGCGUCAUAGAGGGUGAGAAUCCCGUCUUUGACACGGACUACCAAGGCUUUGUGGUAUGCUCUCAAAGAGUCGAGUUGUUUGGGAAUGCAGCUCAAAAUGGGUGGUAAAUUCCAUCUAAAGCUAAAUAUUGGCGAGAGACCGAUAGCGAACAAGUACCGUGAGGGAAAGAUGAAAAGAACUUUGGAAAGAGAGUUAAACAGUACGUGAAAUUGCUGAAGGGAAACGCUUGAAGUCAGUCGCGUUGGCUGGGGAUCACGUUCGCUUUUGCGUGGUGUACUUCCUAGUUGACGGGUCAGCAUCAAUUUUGACUGCUGGAAAAAGGCUUGGGGAAGGUGGCAGCUCCGGCUGUGUUAUAGCCCCUUGUCACAUACAGCGGUUGGGAUUGAGGUACUCAGCACGCCGCAAGGCCGGGUUUCGACCACGAUCGUGCUUAGGAUGCUGGCAUAAUGGCUUUAAGCGACCCGUCUUGAAACACGGACCAAGGAGUCUAACAUGCCUGCGAGUGUUUGGGUGGAAAACCCGAGCGCGUAAUGAAAGUGAAAGUUGAGAUCCCUGUCGUGGGGAGCAUCGACGCCCGGACCAGAACUUUUGGGACGGAUCCGCGGUAGAGCAUGUAUGUUGGGACCCGAAAGAUGGUGAACUAUGCCUGAAUAGGGUGAAGCCAGAGGAAACUCUGGUGGAGGCUCGUAGC
rnacentral:rRNA from 1 species